CCUACGGGAGGCAGCAGUGAGGAAUAUUGGUCAAUGGCCGGAAGGCUGAACCAGCCAUGCCGCGUGAAGGUCAGUGCCCUAUGGGCGUUAAACUUCUUUUGUGCGGGAGCAAUAAUGGUCACGUUUGGCCAGACGAGAGUACCGUACGAAUAAGCAUCGGCUAACUCCGUCCCAGCAGCCGCGGUAAUACGGGGAAGGCAAGCGUUAUCCGGAUUUAUUGGGUUUAAAGGGUGCGUAGGCUGUGAGGUAAGUCAGCGGUGAAAUGCCCCGCUCAACGGGGUGAAGUGCCAUUGAUACUGCCGUGCUGGAAUGCGGAUGCCGUGGGAGGAAUGUGUGGUGUAGCGGUGAAAUGCAUAGAUAUCACACAGAACACCGAUUGCGAAGGCAUCUCACGAAGCCGCGAUUGACGCUGAUGCACGAAAGCGUGGGUAUCAAACAGGAUUAGAUACCCUAGUAGUC
rnacentral:rRNA from 1 species